rnacentral:rRNA from 1 species
AUACGGAAGGUCCGGGCGUUAUCCGGAUUUAUUGGGUUUAAAGGGAGCGCAGGCGGAGAUGCAAGCGUGACGUCAAAUUUCGGGGCUCAACCCCGUCUCGCGUCGCGAACUGCGUCCCUUGGUUGCGGGAAGGGGAGGCGGAACUCGUGGUGUAGCGGUGAAAUGCAUAGAUAUCACGAAGAACUCCGAUCGCGAAGGCAGCCUUCCGGCCCGUCAACGACGCGCAUGCUCGAAGGUGCGGGUAGCAAACAGGAUUAGAUACCCUGGUAGUCCGCACAGUAAACGAUGGACACCCGCGGUUUGGCCUGUAUGGCUGAGCCGCCAAGCGAAAGCGUUAAGUGUCCCACCUGGGGAGUACGCCGGCAACGGUGAAACUCAAAUGAAUUGACGGGG